rnacentral:lncRNA from 1 species
CCCUGGCUUCCCUGGCCCUCAGGAGGUAGUGGGAACAGCUGCAAUGGAAAAGACCCAUAGAGGAGGAGCAAGGGUCUAGCAAAGUGGAUAUGCUUCUGGGCUGAGAGCUCUGAGUUUCUCUUCCCUCUGCCUCCUGGUUGGGUUGAGAAUGAAAAGAGCUGGAAGCAGCUUGGAGGAAGGGCUUGUCCGGCACCGCAGAGGCAUGGGAGCCAUUUCUUGGAUGCUGGGCUCAUGGCUCAGACUUCCAAUGUAACUGCUGUACAAAUUGUCAGCCUGACCUCUCUCUGCACCUGUCCUGUUUGGAGGACGACAUUUUCAAAAACAGCCCAACAAUUCAUGCCUACAAGAGCCCUUGGAAGCAAUAAUGGAGCAAUAACCACCCACCUGUUUCUGGACUCACAAACCAGGUCAGCAAGCAUGAAAACCUUGUCAUCUUUGCCUCUGAAGAACAUGUGCCUUUCUGUGAGAAACAAACUCCUUAUUUAUUUAUUUUUUUCCUUUUCUGAUCCUACUUUUUCUCCUUGAAUCGGUGAUUUGUUGUUGUUGUUUGGUGGAGGGGCUGAGGGAGGGAAAUGGGGGCAGUUUGCAAACGAUGUGACUUAACAUGACAGGAGUUAAUCAGAGUUCAUGUGCCAAGCCAGCAUUAGUCAAAGAAAGCGCUGCUGCUCUUUCUGGGAGAAUAAACAUCUUUGUGCAGUUCAGCUGUCUUGGUAUUUUGGCAGGGGGGGAGAAAAAAAGGUUCAAAGAAAUGCUGUAGGAUCCUUGCCUGCCUAUGAUUUAUAAUGUACAUGGCAUCUGUAGAGCAAAGAGGACUGCAAAGUGCAGUGCAGAGAAAAAUGCUGCUACAGAGUUGAAGUGGGGUUAUCUGAAGCACCUAAUUUUGCUCUUGGUGAAAAUUUGUACUGUUGCUCAAAG